CUCCAGGAAGCAGCUCCCCUGUCCUCCAGCGCCAAUGCUGUGUGGAGGCGUUGCCAUGGUGGCCAAUCUUGGCGGUAGCGGCUCACACAGCAUGUGGCGAGGACAGGGGAGCUGCUUCCUGGAG